rnacentral:lncRNA from 1 species
AGUUUGAGGAAUGAGUUAGACUAGAAGAAAGGGACUUCAUAUAUUGAGUUCCUUUUUUUGCUCCAUGCAGUGUACCAAGCACUUUUAUGUGGUCUUUCCUUUAAUCCUCACUAACUACAGAUGUAAGAAGUGAAUAUUUCUUUUGCAAAAUGAGAAACUGAAGUUAGGAGGUAUUAAAUAGUCUGCCCAAAGUCACAGAGCUAAUAACUAUAAUUACAAUAGAGCUAAACCAAGCAGAAAUGUAAAACCAGUACUGUUUCAUCCAAAAACUGAUGUAUUAGGACUGCCUUCUGAAGAUAAAGUUGGAGAGACAGGGGUUAGAUUGUGAAAGUUCUUAAAGUCCAGGCUAAGGAGUUUGGACUCUGUCACAUGGAGAAUGAAGAGCCACUGAAAGAUGUUGGUGUUUUUGUUGUCGCUGUUUCUUUUUUCUUUCUCUCUGCCUUCUUUUUUUUUUUUUGAGUUGGAAAUGGAGGAAGCAUAGACAAAAGAGAGUAUUAACAAUAUAAGAUAACUGUUUAAUACAAACCAAUAUUCAUUUCUGCCUUUAGGUGUGAAAAUCCUUGAACCCACCGAAAUACCAGCUCCAGGUCCAGUUCCUGUUCCAGGUCCCAAAAGCCAUCCUUCUGCAUCCUUGGGCAAAAUGCUGCUUCCACAGUUUGGGAUGGUCAUUUUAAUCAGUGUUUCUGCUAUAAAUCUCUUUGUUGCUCUGUAGUUCCCUGCAUUGUUUAUCUUUCUUGUUCUUUACUUGAAAUAACUAUAGGGAUCCCACAGGAGAUCAGAAGGAAUGACGUAUUUUUCACUUGUUGGCCAAAGUCACUGAUAAAAUGAGAAUUGUAUAUUUGUUAUUCAUUUUGCAAAUUCAGAAAGUUGGUCCAGAUAUAUGUUACAGAACUUUUCACUUCUAUACUAACUGAAAAAAAUCCCGAAAACUGUAUACUUCCGAUUGAAUUCAAUAAAAGAUUUUUAGAUAUUUCAGAAUUGCCAGUAU